rnacentral:rRNA from 1 species
UACGUAGGGUGCAAGCGUUGUCCGGAAUUAUUGGGCGUAAAGAGCGUGUAGGCGGCCCGAUUAGUCCGCUGUGAAAGUCCAGGGCUCAACCCUGGAAUGCCGGUGGAUACUGUCGGGCUAGAGUCCGGAAGGGGCGAGUGGAAUUCCUGGUGUAGCGGUGAAAUGACGCAGAUAUCAGGAGGAACACCAAUGGCGAAGGCAGCUCGCUGGGACGUGACUGACGCUGAGACGCGAAAGCGUGGGGAGCAAACAGG